rnacentral:lncRNA from 1 species
GCAUAACCGUUGUAAUCGUAUUAGUUUCAUUUCGGCUGUUUUGACUUUUUUUUUUUUUUUUUUUUUGACUAUUUUACUUUUUCAGAGACAGAAAAUAAAUUUUAACUCAGAAUGUAAAGGACUAUUAAUAUCACCAGUGUCUUACAGAAAAAACAGUGCUAGUAUAAAAGAAAUUAUAAACUAUUUAAAUAAACAUUAUCCUUUAAAUAAAGAUAACAAUUAUACUAAUACUGAUAAUAAACAUAAAAAUGAGAAUGAUAAUGACAAAACUAACGGUAUAAGUAACGACGCAAGUAACGACAAAACAAAUGAUAUAAAUAAAAAUGUAGAACAAAAUGGUGAAGAUGAAGAAAAAUGUAGUAACAUGGAAAAACAACUGAAUCAAGAGAUUAAAGAAGCUAAGUUAGAUUAUGUUCGAUUUGUACCUCUUAAAGAUAUCAUAAAGCAUCAUAUUAUUAUAAAAUUUAAUAAUGUAGAAGAAAAUACACCAUCCGAUAUUGUUCAUAAUAUAUUUUCAAAAGCACAAACUAAAACAGAAAAGUUUUUUUUCAGGAAUAUAUGUAAACUAAUACCACUCGAUAAUAUUUGUAAACCACAUAUCACACCUUUAAUAAAAAUAUUAUUACCAUUACUAAAGAAUAAUUUUACUAAAAGUAUAUGUGCUGAACAAAAUUUUACUGUUACUACUUUAUUAAACUUGUUACAGCUGACUAAGGAGUUGGAAGAUGCAGAAAAAGAAGAAGAUGAAGAAGAAGAUGAAGAAGAAGAAAAAGAAGAAGAAAAAGAAGAAGAAAAAAAAGAAGAAGAAAAAAAAGAAGAAAAAGAAGAAGAAGGAGAAGGAGAAGGAAAGCAAGCUCAGUUAAAUGGGACAAACACGUUAAAAGAAAAUGAAAUUAAGAAAGAUGACAAGAAGGUAGAAGUUGAAACACAAGAGGGCCAUACAAAAGAUAAUGGGAAAUGUGAGGAAGUGGUUAAAAAGGCUGCCGAAAAAGCAGAGGUAGACAAAGUAGUUGAAGCAGCUGAAAAGAAAACAAGCUGGGCGUUAAUAUAUAAAUGCACACGCAAUAACGCAUUACCCAAAUCAAUUGUAUUAAAAAUGUUGGAUAAAUGUAUUGGAAAUAACUAUAAAGUAAAUUUGAACAAUCCUGAUUUAGCAGUAUUUGUUUAUGUAACUGAGAUUAUGUGUGGAGUAAGUAUAGUUAAAGGCUAUGGUAACACAAAGAAAUUCAACAUUUCUGCUUUUAAUAACUAUUCUGAUAAUGAGGGUCAUUAGUUUUAAAUUUAUAAUGAAUAAGCUACACUUGUGUGCGAGUACUUUUUUGGGAGACCGUAUUAAUAUAUAAUAUCUAGUAUUUCAACACGAUCGACAAAAAAAAAAAAAAAAAAAAAAAAAAAAUAGAAAAAAAGCAAAAAAGCAAAAAAGCAAAAAAGCAAAAAAGCAAAAAAGAAAGAAAAAUAGCUAACAAGGGUAACGCAAGAAAAUAAAAUAUGCAUUUUUUUUUUUUUUUUUAAUUUG